GAUGAAGAACGCAGCGAAAUGCGAUAAGUAAUGUGAAUUGCAGAAUUCAGUGAAUCAUCGAAUCUUUGAACGCACAUUGCGCCCGCCAGUAUUCUGGCGGGCAUGCCUGUUCGAGCGUCAUUUCAACCAUCAAGCCCUGCUUGCGUUGGGGUCCUGCGGCUGCCCGCAGGCCCUGAAAACCAGUGGCGGGCUCGCGAGUCACACCGAGCGCAGUAAUACAUCUCGCUUUGGGCGUGCGGCGGGUUCUUGCCGUUAAACACCCCCUUUUUACCAAGGUUGACCUCGGAUCAGGUAGGAAUACCCGCUGAACUUAAGCAUAUCAAUAAGCGGAGGA
rnacentral:misc_RNA from 1 species